rnacentral:rRNA from 1 species
UACAGAGGUCUCAAGCGUUGUUCGGAUUCAUUGGGCGUAAAGGGUGCGUAGGUGGCGCCGUAAGUCAGGUGUGAAAUUUCGGAGCUUAACUCCGAAACUGCAUUCGAUACUGCCGUGCUUGAGGACUGGAGAGGAGACUGGAAUUUACGGUGUAGCGGUGAAAUGCGUAGAUAUCGGGAGGAACACCUGUGGCGAAAGCGGCUCACUGGACCACAACUGACGCUGAGGCGCGAAAGCUAGGGGAGCAAACAGG